rnacentral:rRNA from 1 species
CCUACGGGUGGCAGCAGUGAGGAAUAUUGGUCAAUGGGCGCGAGCCUGAACCAGCCAAGUAGCGUGAAGGAUGACUGCCCUACGGGUUGUAAACUUCUUUUAUAAAGGAAUAAAGUGAGGCACGUGUGCCUUUUUGUAGGUACUGUAUGAAUAAGGAUCGGCUAAAUCCGUGCCAGCAGCCGCGGGAAUAAGGAGGAUCCGAGCGUUAUCCGGAUUUAUUGGGUUUAAAGGGAGCGUAGAUGGGUUGUUAAGUCAGUUGUGAAAGUUUGCGGCUCAACCGUAAAAUUGCAAUUGAUACUGGUAGUCUUGAGUACAGUUGAGGUAGGCGGAAUUCGUGGUGUAGCGGUGAAAUGCUUAGAUAUCACGAAGAACUCCGAUUGCGAAGGCAGCUUACUAACCUGCCACUGACAUUGAUGCUCGAAAGUGUGGGUAUCAAACAGGAUUAGAUACCCGAGUAGUC